rnacentral:rRNA from 1 species
GACGAACGCUGGCGGCGUGCCUAAUACAUGCAAGUAGAACGCAGUUGCGAACGGGUGAGUAACGCGUAGGUAACUGCCUCAUAGCGUGGGAUAACUAUUGGAAACGAUAGCUAAUACCGCAUACUGUGAGAUGGACCUGCGUUGUAUUGGCUAGUUGGUGAGGUAAAGGCUCACCAAGACGACGAUACAUAGCCGACCUGAGAGGGUGAAUGGCCACACUGGGACUUGGACACGGCUCAGUCUCCUUCGGGAGGGAGCAGGAGGGGAUCUUCAGCAAUUGACGGAAGUACGGCCGAGCCACGCCGCGUGAGUGAAGAAGGUUUUCGGAUCGUAAAGCUCUGUUGUGAGGGAAACGGUAACUAACCAGAAAGGGACGGCUAACUACGUGCCAGCCGCCGCGGUAAUAC